AUUUAAUGAUCAUGCUCAUUCAAGGAAUCCUUUAGAAUCUUCUUCAGAUUCAAAUAUCAAAGAUGAAGACAUUGAAAAGGCAAUAGAUGCUAAUAUGUACACAUGUACUGAUGAAACAGAAACAGAAGUUGAAUUUGUAGCAGAUCUUGGAUUACGUGAUAGACCUGAUAAAGAUUUCAAAUUUGUACCCCUCCAGAAUAAUGACAAACAGAACAUUUGUUCAAAACUGAAUAUCAGAUAUAUAGGCAAAGGCUGUGAUUCAAGGUUAGAUAGAAAUAGCUCUAUUGGAGUUCCUUUACAGAGUAAACAAAUUACUGGUGAUGGCAAUUGUUUCUUUCGUGCAAUUUCCUAUGUAAUUUCUGGAACUGAGCAUAAUCAUGCAAUUUUAAGAAAUGCCACUGUGAAACAUUUAUUGCAAACCAAGGACAUGUUUAGUAAUACAUUGAGGCAAGAAUAUAGAACAGUCAGAGAAUAUGUUUUGAAACGUAGAAUAAAGGAAGACGGAACGUGGGCUACAGACACUGAAAUUAGCGCUUUAGCAAAUUUAAUCGAUACUGAUAUUUAUUCAUACAAUGACCAAGUACCAUGUUGGCAAUUGUUCUCUGCAAAGAAACCUGGAAGAAUAAAUAUUGUAACAUCUGAUAAGGGAAUUUAUAUACUGUACACAGGAAAUGUUCAUUUUAAUGUUGUUGAAUCUGUAGAUUUUGUCAAUUUCAAUUCAUUGGAACAGACAAGAACAACUAAAGAAGAUAGAACGUCAAAGAGAACUUUGCCAUGUCCAUCAAUUCAGGCUGAUGUUAAAGUAAAGCAUGUGUUCAAGAAGUGUAGAUCCAAGUCGCAGAUAGAGGAAGAAAUUGAUGAAGUAGUGGAUAAGUCUCCUGAAACAUUUCAAAACCAUGUUGAUCCAAAGGGAAAAAAACGUAGGCUCACGUUGGAGACUGGUACGAUAAAUCACGAUGAGAGGAAAGGUACUGCAAAUCUUUUUGACAUGACAUAUGAACAGUGUGCAAGUAAUCAGUCUGAAUCAGUCGUUCACAACGAACGUAACACCAAGGACGAAACCCUUAAAAGUGAUCACAAAGACAAAUGCACGAGAGUCGAUACACAAAUAACGCUUGUUGCCCAAGGGACAUUCAAUCAAGGUGAUACAAGAUUUGGUGACUUAAGUGGAAAGCAGUGUGUUACCAAUUCACUUUCUGCACUGUUGUAUAGCAAGAAGCAGUCGAGGUUUCCUGAGUUGUAACGGACACAGUGUUGUACUUCGUACUCAAAGCUGGCAAGGUGUGUACAAGCAUUGCAUGAGAUAACUGCUUCAGAUGACUGCAAAGCGCAACGUUGCAAAGCUCAUUUCUACAACCCUAGUCAUCAAUGACAGUGCACCACCAUAUCCCUUUGCUCACCAGUUGAAACAAACUACCGCCCUCGAGUCAGAAGGCUGUCCUCAUCAUCCAACACACAGCGGUAACAUCACCCAAGGACUUCAGCCCUCCGGUGAUACCUGGUUCAGCAAAGACUAGGCCUUGGGGAGUGUUUACGGCUCUGUCAUCAUAACAGCAUUGUGGCAGAAGUAUGGAACACCAGCAUAUACAGGAUAACUUCUUCAGAUGACUGCAAAGCGCAACAUUGCAAAGCUCACUUCUACAACCCUAGUCACCAAUGACCGUGCACCACCAUACCCCUUUGCUCACCAGUUCAAACAAACUACCGCCCUCGAGUCAGAAGGCUGUCCUCAUCGUCCAACACACAGCGGUAACAUCACCCCAGGACUUCAGCCCUCCGGUGAUACCUGGUUCAGCGAAGACUAGGCCUUGGGGAGUGUUUACGGCUUUGUCACCAAAACAGCAUUGUGGCAGAAGUAUGGAACACCAGCAUAUACAUGUAAUGUAUCGGGACCUUUACAGGAUAACUUCUUCAGAUGACUGCAAAGCGCAACGUUGCAAAGCUCAUUUCUACAACCCUAGUCACCAAUGACAGUGCACCACCAUACCCCUUUGCUCACCAGUUCAAACAAACUACCGCCCUCGAGUCAGAAGGCUGUCCUCAUCGUCCAACACACAGCGGUAACAUCACCCCAGGACUUCACCUCUCCGGUGAUACCUGGUUCAGCGAAGACUAGGCCUUGGGGAGUGGUUACGGCUCUGUCAUAACAGCAUUGUGGCAGAAGUAUGGAACACCAGCAUAUACAUGUAAUGUAUCAGGACCUUCACAGGAUGACUGCAAAGCGCAACAUUGCAAAGCUCAUUUCUACAACCCUAGUCACCAAUGACAGUGCACCACCAUAUCCCUUUGUUCACCAGUUCAAACAAACUACCGCCCUCGAGUCAGAAGGCUGUCCUCAUCAUCCAACACACAGCGGUAACAUCACCCAAGGACUUCAGCCCUCCGGUGAUACCUGGUUCAGCAAAGACUAGGCCUUGGGGAGUGUUUACGGCUCUGUCAUCAUAACAGCAUUAUGGCAGAAGUAAGGAACACCAGCAUAUACAGGAUGACUGCAAAGCGCAAUGUUGCAAAGCUCACUUCUACAACCCUAGUCACCAAUGACCGUGCACCACCAUACCCCUUUGCUCACCAGUUCAAACAAACUACCGCCCUCGAUUUAGAAGGCUGUCCUCAUCGUCCAACACACAGCGGUAACAUCACCCCAGGACUUCAGCCCUCCGGUGAUACCUGGUUCAGCGAAGACUAUGCCUUGGGGAGUGUUUACGGCUCUGUCACCAAAACAGCAUUGUGGCAGAAGUAUGGAACACCAGCAUAUACAUGUAAUGUAUCGGGACCUUUACAGGAUAACUUCUUCAGAUGACUGCAAAGCGCAACGUUGCAAAGCUCAUUUCUACAACCCUAGUCACCAAUGACAGUGCACCACCAUAUCCCUUUGCUCACCAGUUGAAACAAACUACCGCCCUCGAGUCAGAAGGCUGUCCUCAUCGUCCAACACACAGCGGUAACAUCACCCCAGGACUUCAGCCCUCCGGUGAUACCUGGUUCAGCGAAGACUAGGCCUUGGGGAGUGUUUACGGCUCUGUCACCAAAACAGCAUUGUGGCAGAAGUAUGGAACACCAGCAUAUACAUGUAAUGUAUCAGGACCUUCACAGGAUAACUUCUUCAGAUGACUGCAAAGCGCAACGUUGCAAAGCUCACUUCUAUCUACAACCCUAGUCACCAAUGACCGUGCACCACCAUAUCCCUUUGCUCACCAGUUCAAACAAACUACCGCCCUCGAGUCAGAAGGCUGUCCUCAUCGUCCAACACACAGCGGUAACAUCACCCCAGGACUUCAGCCCUCCGGUGAUACCUGGUUCAACGAAGACUAGGCCUUGGGGAGUGGUUACGGCUCUGUCAUAAGAGCAUUGUGGCACAAGUAGCCUCGAUCUCGACCAAGACAUUUUGAAUGCCACUCUGUAUGGCUCAGCAUACUUUUUUUUUCUUUAUUCAUACUAACGUGUGUUCAUGUCCAUUUUUCCACCUCUGAUUCUUACAUUUAUUUUCUGAUACCAUGUUUCUGUGUGAUUUUAGUCUUAUUUUUACUGGUAUGACAAUGUAAACAUAUACCUUUGUUCCACACAAGAUAUUUUGGGAUUUUGUGUGCACUUCCAUGUAACUACAUGUAUUUUUAUAUGAUAGUUUUUGUUUCUGAUUGUUCAAUUCCUUUUACGCUCUCAUUCCUUUAUAGUUGUAUCUUAUUUGAGACAGAGGAAGAGAGAGGGUGAAUAGUAGAGAGAGAGGGGGAUGCAGAAACAAAGCGCCAUUUAUGAUGUAUUUUAUUACAUUUGUGUUUUAACUUUGCACAUACAUUGCAAGAUUUUGGGAUUUAACACGUUUAUUUUUCUGUAAGUUUGUAAAUCCUUGUAUUCACACAGUGUUUUGAGUGAUAUAUUGUAAAGAUAGAUCUUAUGCAUGCUCCUUGGGGAAAAGAAGUUAUACAUGCAUGUCACUCUUCUUAUCUUGGCAUUACCGUAAUUCUUAUAUUGGUUGAUGUUGCUGAUAUAUGAAACAGAAUCUGAUGGAUAUCAUUGAUAACAGUUACUGUUUGUCUUCUUUUUAACAUCAGGAUAACAGAUCUUAGUAGUACAGCGAAAGACAAUUCACUGUAAUUUGUUAUAUUGUCAUAUAUUACACGAUUAUGAUUUUCAAUGGCACAUGUUUGUACACUACAAUUUUAUGUCAUUAGAGGUCACAUAUCCAGUUUGUUUCGUGAAUAGUCAAUAUUGGAUUAUGAUUAUAAUGUCAGUUUAUUUGCAACAUUUACCCCAUAUAUAGUGGUAUCUUACGAUCAACUGUCAAUAUCUACUGCAUUCACUAUACAUAGCAGUGUCUUGCUUGCUGUAACAAAGAGGUAUAUAGGGCUGUUAGGGAUUAUCCAUAAUGUACAUUGUUUUUUAGUUUUUAUUGUUAUUGUGUUUAUCUGAACUUAUGUUGUUUAUGUACCUGUUUUAUAUAUGUAUUCCAUUUCUGUUGAAUAUAUAUACAUGUUAAAAUGCCCUUUUCAGAGAUUUGUACAAUGCUGCUCUUUUCAGUAUGUGCUUUUAUUUUGGUAUAUCAAAUUUAAUUGGAUAUGCUGUUUUUAAAAUUUAUUUCUUUUAAAAUGUGUUCGAAGAUGAUAGGUGAUUACCAUUUGUAACAUUGCAUUGCGGUUCUUUUUUAGAUCGCCAAGGAAAUAGCGUGAUGUUAAGUUUGGUGCAGAAUGUCAUUUACAUGCAUGUAGAUAGGUCUAUGCAAUUUAGCUUUGACUUUGGUUAACAAUGAAUAGACCUGUUUACUAAUGUACUUCAUUUUAUGUUUCUCUCUAUAGUACAUGGUAGGGGGUGAAACAAGAAUACAAAGGUUAGAAGGAAAAGUUAAAGAAGAUUGGGGUUCAAUGGCACAUGUUUGUACACUACAAUUUUAUGUCAUUAGAGGUCACAUAUCCAGUUUGUUUUGUGAAUAGUCAAUAUUGGAUUAUGAUUAUAAUGUCAGUUUAUUUGCAACAUUUACCCCAUAUAUAGUGGUACCUUACGAUCAACUGUCAAUAUCUACUGCAUUCACUAUACAUAGCAGUGUCUUGCUUGCUGUAACAAAGAGGUAUAUAGGGCUGUUAGGGAUUAUCCAUAAUGUACAUUGUUUUUUAGUUUUAUUUUUAUUGUGUUUAUCUGAACUUAUAUCUCACUUGCUAUGUAGGGGGCCUUUCAUAUAAUCAGUAGGUAUCUUGUUUAUGUACCUGUUUUAUAUAUGUAUUCCAUUUCUGUUGAAUAUAUAUACAUGUUAAAAUGCCCUUUUUAGAGAUUUGUACAAUGCUGCUCUUUUCAGUAUGUGCUUUUAUUUUGGUAUAUCAAAUUUAAUUGGAUAUGCUGUUUUUAAAAUUUAUUUCUUUUAAAAUGUGUUUGAAGAUGAUAGGUGAUUACCAUUUGUAAUAUUGCAUUGCGGUUCUUUUUUAGAUCGCCAAGGAAAUAGCGUGAUGUUAAGUUUGGUGCAGAAUGUCAUUUACAUGCAUGUAGAUAGGUCUAUGCAAUUUAGCUUUGACUUUGGUUUGAUAAGCUUUGUUUAGUGCUUUGAACAUGAAUUUAACAAUGAAUA